rnacentral:rRNA from 1 species
CAGCCGCCGCGGGAAUACGAAGGGGGCUGGCGUUGUUCGGAUUUACUGGGCGUAAAGCGCACGUAGGCGGACUUUUAAGUCAGGGGUGAAAUCCCGGGGCUCAACCCCGGAACUGCCUUUGAUACUGGAAGUCUUGAGUAUGGUAGAGGUGAGUGGAAUUCCGAGUGUAGAGGUGAAAUUCGUAGAUAUUCGGAGGAACACCAGUGGCGAAGGCGGCUCACUGGACCAUUACUGACGCUGAGGUGCGAAAGCGUGGGGAGCAAACAGGAUUAGAUACCCCAGUAGUCCCUGUCUCUUAUAC